CACGUAGGGGGCAAGCGUUGUCCGGAAUCAUUGGGCGUAAAGAGCUCGUAGGUGGCUCAGUAAGUCGGGUGUGAAACCUCCAGGCUCAACCUGGAGACGCCACCCGAUACUGCUGUGGCUAGAGUCCAGUAGGGGAGUGUGGAAUUCCCGGUGUAGAGGUGAAAUUCGUAGAUAUCGGGAGGAACACCAGUGGCGAAGGCGGCGAUCUGGGAAGAUACUGACGCUGAGGUGCGAAAGCGUGGGGAGCAAACAGG
rnacentral:rRNA from 1 species